rnacentral:rRNA from 1 species
CCCACUAUGCCCAACCGUAAAAUAUUUACCCACAUCUACAACCGCCAGGGAAUUACAAGCCCCCUUAAAACCCAAAGGACUUGACGGUGUCCCACCCACCUAGAGGAGCCUGUUCUAUAAUCGACACCCCACGAUACACCUCACCACCCCUAGCACACUCAGUCUGUAUACCUCCGUCGCAAGCUUACCAUGUGAACGCCACUAGUGAGCUAAAAGAUCUUCACCCACACGUCAGGUCAAGGUGCAACUAACGGAAUGGAAAGCAAUGGGCUACAAUCUCUAUAUUAGAACAUACGAAAAACUGCAUGAAACACAGUCACGAAGGCGGAUUUAGAAGUAAAAAGAAACCAGAAAAUUCUUUUUAACUAGGCCCUGGGACGCGUACACACCGCCCGUCACCCUCCUCAACUACAUAAGAGGAGGCAAGUCGUAACAUGGUAAGUGUACUGGAAAGUGCACUUGGAUAUCAAAAUGUAGCUUAACUAAAGCAUCUCGCUUACACCGAGAUAGAUGUCAAUAAACCUUGCCAUUUUGAGCCUCAACCCUAGCCCUAACCUAUCCCUCACUUUAACAAACUAACAAA